AUUGAACGCUGGCGGCAUGCCUUACACAUGCAAGCCGAACGGCAGCACGGGUGCUUGCACCUGGUGGCGAGUGGCGAACGGGUGAGUAAUACAUCGGAACGUACCUUAUCGUGGGGGAUAACGCAGCGAAAGCUGUGCUAAUACCGCAUACGCCCUGAGGGGGAAAGCGGGGGAUCGAAAGACCUCGCGCGAUUAGAGCGGCCGAUGCCUGAUUAGCUUGUUGGUGGGGUAAAAGCCCACCAAGGCGACGAUCAGUAGCUGGUCUGAGAGGACGAUCAGCCACACUGGGACUGAGACACGGCCCAGACUGCGACGGGAGGCAGCAGUGGGGAAUUUUGGACAAUGGGGGCAACCCUGAUCCAGCAAUGCCGCGUGAGUGAAGAAGGCCUUCAGGUUGUAAAGCUCUUUUGUCAGGGAAGAAACACCGGCUCUAACACAGUCCGGGAAUGACGGUACCUGAAGAAUAAGCACCGGCUAACUACGUGCCAGCCGCCGCAGUAA
rnacentral:rRNA from 1 species